rnacentral:rRNA from 1 species
UACGUAGGGGGCAAGCGUUGUCCGGAAUCAUUGGGCGUAAAGCGCGUGUAGGCGGCCCGGUAAGUCCGCUGUGAAAGUCCAGGGCUCAACCCUGGAAUGCCGGUGGAUACUGUCGGGCUCGAGUCCGGAAGAGGCGAGUGGAAUCCUGGUGUAGCGGUGAAAUGCGCAGAUAUCAGGAGGAACACCGAUGGCGAAGGCAGCUCGCUGGGACGGUACUGACGCUGAGACGCGAAAGCGUGGGGAGCAAACAGG